GGGAUUUGGGUUUCUGAUCGUCUUGACCCAUUUAUUGAAUUCAGUUUUGAGUCUUGAGCUUUUCAAUAUCGAGUUUGGAGUUCGUCGUUGUUGAUGUCCUAUUUGGGAUCCCAAAUUCGGGUUUUCUUAAAUCUUAUUACCAACGAAAUGAAUUGUUAAAAGAGGUAUCUUGUACUCGGAGGAUGUUCGUGAUGAAGGCUUGAGGCAUCGGGUAGAGCAUUAGUCUAGAAUUAGUUUAGAAUAGGAUUUACAUUUCCGUAUUUUUUCUAUUUUUGAGACUGUAUAAUUUGGACCGAUCCUUAUAUUUUCGGAAUUUAUUUUGUUUGUUUGA